rnacentral:rRNA from 1 species
ACCUCCGGACUGGGGUUCGCAAGCUUCACGGCGGACGUACCUCGGGAAGUUGGUUAAACCUCACUAUUUAGAGGAAGGUGAAGUCGUAACAAGGUCUCCGUAGGUGAACCUGCAGAAGGAUC